GGCAACUUAGCACCCUCUCUUUCCCCAUGUUACCGCGAUGCUCUUGGCAGGGACCAUUUGAUGGGGAUUCGGAUGUCUUCCUGGGGUGCCUUGUAUGACCUCUGAAAAUAUGACCUGAAGCAGAUGGAUGCACUCACAUAAGAAACAUCACCUGUGGCCUUCACUGAAAAUGGGCCUGCUGCUCUAAGAAGUUGGGCUCUUGGAGUUCUCUAGCACAGGGGCCAUGAAAAUCAAUGACUUCCUUGUUUGCUGAGGGAGCAGAGGUAGAAUCUCUUGGUGUUUCCACAGAGAAAACACUGACCGUGAAGAGCCAAGAAAGAUGACAUGAUGAAGCCAUCAGGGGAAGCACCAAACAUCCUCAACUCUGCUCACCCAUGGUUUUCUCCCGCCCUCCCAGAGCUCCUCCUGUGUGAGUAAUGCAGUGUGUGCUGGUGCAGUGUCUCACUGAAAAAAGAAAGAAACCCUGAUUUGCAGCAUUGGCCAAUUUCUGUAGUGUAAAUACUCCCACCAUAGCAGAUUUCAGGUUACCAAGGGUUUCACAACUGGUUCACAACUCUUGACUGUAAUGACCAGCUCAUGCAACUCCAGCAUCUCAUCAUCUCCGCCCUGUCCCAGAAAAUCCCCACAUCACACCCAGGCUGAAUAUCACUUUCAGCUUCUCAGUCAGAAGGAGAAGUGGUUAACUAUGCCAGGAUGGUAAUGACUAAAUAUCAGAAUGGUGAGUGUGGAGGGUCAGGAUAUCUGCCAAAUUGGAGAUGACUCUUCACUUCUCAAUCUUGGUGUCUCAUCUGGGGAAGUUGGAGGGAGACAUGCACAGCUUCUCAUGAACAGUCCUGGAAGCCCUUACCCCAAGGCCUCAUGGGGCUGUCUCCAGGGCUUGCUCUUUGUCACUCUCUCCUUUAAAAGCCUGUCAUUCAUUGCCAGAGAACAGAAGGCUCCAUCCUAAGGCCAAGUUGAAAACGGUAGGCUUGGGAGCUGUCUAGACUCUGGGUCCUGGCUUUUGUCUUGGCUGGUGUCAAAAUGAACUCUUUAAAAACUGGCCUCAGGAAGAUUCCCCAUCCAACUCUGAACAGCCUGGACUGAUCUUUUUCUGAUUUUUAGGGGUCUUGUGAACAAGAGUCAGGUAGGCGGGCAGCUCUUGUAAAGCUGAACAUAACCAAAUUUGUCCAUAGCCUGUGACAGCAAAGAUCACAAAACUCUUCCCUCCCCUUUAGGGCCUGGGAGUGACGCCGAACCAAGGGGAGGAUAGUGACCUAUUUUAUCUCCCAAACAUUGGGCAGCCAGUUGCAUUUGCAGAUUUAAAAUCCACCCACACUACUGCAGUUUCUGUUCUCCUGCCCCCACCGAGCAUACUUCUGGCUGGAGCUGGUUUUGUAAAGUGGAGUUGGCUGUGGGUGUGGGAGUCCUCCUCGGAGAGCCUGGUCUGACAGCCCCAGUCAACAGCCCUCCCAUGGGCAUUUGGGCUGCUCCAGUCCCGGCAGGUGCACAGCUCAGGGGA